rnacentral:rRNA from 1 species
UACGUAGGGUGCGAGCGUUGUCCGGAAUUAUUGGGCGUAAAGAGCUCGUAGGCGGUCUGUCGCGUCGGAUGUGAAAAUCCAGGGCUCAACCCUGGACCUGCAUUCGAUACGGGCAGACUAGAGUUCGGUAGGGGAGACUGGAAUUCCUGGUGUAGCGGUGAAAUGCGCAGAUAUCAGGAGGAACACCGGUGGCGAAGGCGGGUCUCUGGGCCGAAACUGACGCUGAGGAGCGAAAGCGUGGGGAGCGAACAGG